UUGUGCCAGGGCAGGGAUGAACCAUCCCAGAGUAUCUGACUUGCUUUAGUAAGGUAAAGCACAACACACACAGACACACACCAAGUGUUUCACAGCCCUGAGAGAGGGAGAAGGAGUCCUGGAAGGAAGACACAUGAAUGAAGCCCUCUUUAUCCCUGCAGCACAGGGAGAGGGAGCAAAUCGUGUGGGCAGGGACUAACAUCUGGAAUCACUAGAGGAGAGCCAGGCGUCACAGAAAGCGACAGCAUUCCUCAAGUUUCCAUGCAGGGUAGGGAACCUUCCUUUCCCCCGCGCAACCCCAUCCGUCAGCCGCUCACUUCCUGCCAAACUCUGCCUUCCCAGCAGCCAGCAAGCUCCUCCCUCGAGUCUAGUUAGCUUUCCACUGCCACGUCAAGUGAGGCAGAAGGACAGAAGGGAAGCAAGAAGGGAGGGAGCAAAAACCAGAAGAGGGAGGGAGGCUCAGCAAUGCCAGGGCGUAGUGGGGGGAGAGAAAGAAGGGAUGUGGAUUGCUCCUGCAGCAGCCAGAGGUGCAGCAUCUCCCAGGUGGAAUCCAGGUACCAGCCUGACACCAGCACUGGAAGAGGAAGGCGCUUGGAGACUUGCUCCAAAUUGGAAACAUGCAGGGAGCAGCAACAUUUCUUCUCCCCCAGCUGCCAGAGGAGGAUGUUUUUCCAAUCAGGACUUGGACUUUCGUUCACCCCAUCUCUGCCCCGCACAACCCCAUCCCAAAAGCAGGGAGGGGAGAGGACUAAUGAGCUGCUGAUUGCCGGAGAGCAGAUCGCAGAGGCUCCACUCCGUCUGCCCAGUGUUCAGACUACCUGUUCAGGACUACGAGAUUGUACAGUAGUCUGCACAUUGGUUAGGCUGUGCUGGGAUACACCACACCCUGCCAGUGCUGCACGGGGACGGCAACACCUGCACGGCAGAGGGACUUGCUUGGGGAGGGUGGGCUCUGGGGAUGGCUGCAUGCAGAGGUCACUCCUAUCUCAGCCUGGGAGGGUCUAACCCUUGGGAGCCAUGCCUGAUCAUCACUUCUACCUGCCUGCUCACCAGCCUGCUCACAACCCUCUCAUUUCUGCUCUGUCUCUCUCAUUCCAUUCUUAUUUCUUUCAGUUUCAUGUGCUUGUCCCACGGUAGCUGUGUUCAGGAUGGCUCGUGUUUCACAUGCUAAGCUUUGCAAAUGCAGAAAUAAAUACACAGGCCUGUCAGAGUCACAA